rnacentral:rRNA from 1 species
AAGUCGAACGAAGUAGCAAUACUUAGUGGCAGACGGGUGAGUAACAUGUGGGUAUCUACCCUUUGGCCUGGAAUAACACGAGGAAACUUGUGCUAAUACUGGAUAAGUCUUUACGGAGAAAGCUUUAUGCACCAAUGGAUGAGCCUGCACUUGAUUAGUUUGUUGGUAGGGUAAUGGCCUACCAAGACUGUGAUCAAUAGCUGAUUUGAGAGGAUGAUCAGCCACAUUGGGACUGAGACACGGCCCAAACUCCUACGGGAGGCAGCAGUGGGGAAUCUUGCACAAUGGAGGAAACUCUGAUGCAGCGAUGCCGCGUGAGUGAAGAAGGCCUUUGGGUUGUAAAGCUCUUUCGUCGGGGAAGAAAAUGACUGUACCCGAAUAAGAAGGUCCGGCUAACUUCGUGCCAGCAGCCGCGGUAAUACGAAGGGACCUAGCGUAGUUCGGAAUUACUGGGCUUAAAGAGUUCGUAGGUGGUUGAAAAAGUUGGUGGUGAAAUCCCAGAGCUUAACUCUGGAACUGCCAUCAAAACUUUUCAGCUAGAGUUUGAUAGAGGAAAGCAGAAUUUCUAGUGUAGAGGUGAAAUUUCGUAGAUAUUAGAAAGAAUACCAAUUGCGAAGGCAGCUUUCUGGAUCAAUACUGACACUGAGGAACGAAAGCAUGGGUAGCGAAGAGGAUUAGAUACCUCUCGUAGUCCAUGCCGUAAACGAUGUGUGUUAGACGGUGGAAAUUUAUUUUCAGUGUCGCAGUGAAAGCGAUAACACACCGCCUGGGGAGUACGACCGCAA